UACACACCGCCCGUCACACCAUGGGAGUUGGUUCUACCCGAAGGCGUUGCGCCGACCGCAAGGAGGCAGGCGACCACGGUAGUGUCAGGCGACGUGGGGUG
rnacentral:rRNA from 1 species